rnacentral:lncRNA from 1 species
AUUCAGGAUCUAGAGAGUCUGAUUGGCUCAGCAUGAAGCAUAGUGCCCACCCAUUGGGCAGGGCUUGGAAGAAGCCUUCAACUACGGCACAACUGACUGAUCCUGCCACCCAGAGCCCAAGCCCAGAGCAGGACGCUCUCUUACUCCCAGCCUUUGUCUCCAACAGCCAGGUGGGAUGGUUUGCACAUGCUCAGCCCAGGGAGUGACACUAAUAGAAGAUGUGGCCCUCUUGGAGUAGGUGUGUCACUGUGGGUGUGGGCUUUAAGACCCUCGUCCUAGCUGCCUGGAAGCCAGUAUUCCGCUAGCAGCCUUCAGAUGAAGAUAUAGAACUCUCAGCUCCUCCUGCACCAUGCCUGCCUGGAUGCUGCCAUGUUCCCGCCUUGAUGAUGA